rnacentral:rRNA from 1 species
AACGAACGCUGGCGGCAUGCCUAACACAUGCAAGUCGAACGAGACCUUCGGGUCUAGUGGCGCACGGGUGCGUAACGCGUGGGAACCUGCCCUUAGGUUCGGAAUAACUCCCCGAAAGGGGUGCUAAUACCGGAUAAUGUCUUCGGACCAACGAUUUAUCGCCUUUGGAUGGGCCCGCGUUGGAUUAGCUAGUUGGUAGGGUAAAAGCCUACCAAGGCGUCGAUCCAUAGCUGGGCUGAGAGGAUGAUCAGCCACACUGGGACUAGGACACGGCCCAGAAUCCUACGCGAUGCAGGAGAGGGGAAUAUAGGAACAUGGGCGGAAGCCUGAUCCAGCUAGGCCGCGUGAGUGAUGAAGGCCUUAGGGUUGUAAAGCUCUUUUACCCGGGAUGAUAAUGACAGUACCGGGAGAAUAAGCGCCGGCUAACUCCGUG